rnacentral:miRNA from 1 species
CCUUCCGGUUGAAGAGGUUUUGUAACCUCUUCAACUGGAGGGCCUUCCUUCCGGUUGAAGAGGUUUUGUAACCUCUUCAACUGGAUGGCCUUCCUUCCGGUUGAAGAGGUUUUGUAACAUCUUCAACUGGAUGGCCUUCCUUCCGGUUGAAGAGGUUUUGUAACAUCUUCAACUGGAUGG